rnacentral:rRNA from 1 species
AAGCGUUGUUCGGAAUUACUGGGCGUAAAGGGCUCGUAGGCGGCCAACUAAGUCGGAUGUGAAAUCCCCAGGCUUAACCUGGGAACUGCAUCCGAUACUGGAUGGCUUGAAUCCGGGAGAGGGAUGCGGAAUUCCAGGUGUAGCGGUGAAAUGCGUAGAUAUCUGGAGGAACACCGGUGGCGAAGGCGGCAUCCUGGACCGGCAUUGACGCUGAGGAGCGAAAGCCAGGGGAGCAAACGGG